rnacentral:rRNA from 1 species
CAGCAGCCGCGGGAAUACAGAGGGUGCGAGCGUUAAUCGGAUUUACUGGGCGUAAAGCGUGCGUAGGCGGCUUCUUAAGUCGGAUGUGAAAUCCCUGAGCUUAACUUAGGAAUUGCAUUCGAUACUGGGAAGCUAGAGUAUGGGAGAGGAUGGUAGAAUUCCAGGUGUAGCGGUGAAAUGCGUAGAGAUCUGGAGGAAUACCGAUGGCGAAGGCAGCCAUCUGGCCUAAUACUGACGCUGAUGUACGAAAGCAUGGGGAGCAAACAGGAUUAGAUACCCCCGUAGUCCCUGUCUCUUAUAC